GUGUGUGUGUGUGUGUGUGUGUGGGAGAGUGUGUGUGUGUGUGAGCAACACAAACUGCUAGCUGGUGUUUCUGACAGGAAGCCCACCCGAGUCCCUCUGCAUGAAGCCCCGCAUCUUUCGCCCCACCAUCCAAUCAGAUUCUGCAAUGGAGCUGUUUACAAACCUCAUCUCUCUCUGUCACACACACACACACACACACACUGCCCUGGGAAAUAUGAAUCCAGAAGACAAAGAGACGCUUGGGUUUGUGGCGCCGUUGACUGUUUCCCGUCUGGAUUAAUGUUUUGAUUCCUGCCUCUGGCGGCGCUCUGCUCUUUCUCCGGCAGGACGGCCGUCGCGCUCCGGGGCUGCACUUGUGUUCAGGGAAACGUACCGAUGUUCAGAGAACCAGCAAACUGUCCAAAAACUCGCAACUGCUUGAGCGCAAGAUAAACACGCGGUCGUCAUGGAGACGUGCCGCAGCCGUUUCUGUGGCCACACGCUGCUCGAAAUACAUCUUCAUCAUCGUCAUCGUCACAUUGUCUCCUCCUUCAUGGCAUUGCCUCGUGCUGCUCUGAGGACUGGUGCGACAGUCAUGGAUUUUACUGAAGAUUUUUGCAAUAAUAUCGAUUACGAUGAUGAACUUUUGCACCGGAAGCUCCUGAUGUGUCUCGCGCUGACUGUUCUUCCCAGCUCCACAACUGCGUUCUUGUUUUUCAUCGACAGAUUUAAUAAAGUUGUAAAUUAAAGGA